ACUGCACACUAUUAAAGCUCAGGGUGGAGGCCAGUUUUGGCCAAUGACCUUCUGAGUGUCGGAAGUGUGCUAUAUAAAAUGGCAGGAUUUUCGCUAACACCAGUAGAGCUUGUCUCGAUGACUGGAGUUUGAUAGUACUCGCUGCCACAUUC